AUGAACGCUGGCGGCGUGCCUAAUACAUGCAAGUCGAGCGAACGGACGAGAAGCUUGCUUCUCUGAUGUUAGCGGCGGACGGGUGAGUAACACGUGGAUAACCUACCUAUAAGACUGGGAUAACUUCGGGAAACCGGAGCUAAUACCGGAUAAUAUUUUGAACCGCAUGGUUCAAAAGUGAAAGACGGUCUUGCUGUCACUUAUAGAUGGAUCCGCGCUGCAUUAGCUAGUUGGUAAGGUAACGGCUUACCAAGGCAACGAUGCAUAGCCGACCUGAGAGGGUGAUCGGCCACACUGGAACUGAGACACGGUCCAGACUCCUACGGGAGGCAGCAGUAGGGAAUCUUCCGCAAUGGGCGGAAGCCUGACGGAGCAACGCCGCGUGAGUGAUGAAGGUCUUCGGAUCGUAAAACUCUGUUAUUAGGGAAGAACAUAUGUGUAAGUAACUGUGCACAUCUUGACGGUACCUAAUCAGAAAGCCACGGCUAACUACGUG
rnacentral:rRNA from 1 species